UAUUUUGGUGCCAGAGCUGACUGAUGGGUGCACGUGGUUCCUUUGUAUGUUCUUCUUUUGAAAAAAUAAACGUAUUUUGAUGCCUGAGAUGACUGAUGGGUGCACAUGGUUCCUUCUAUUUUGGUGCCAGAGCUGACUGAUGGGUGCACGUGGUUCCUUUGUAUGUUCUUCUUUUGA